rnacentral:rRNA from 1 species
UACGUAGGGUGCGAGCGUUAAUCGGAAUUACUGGGCGUAAAGCGUGCGCAGGCGGCGCGUUAAGACAGGUGUGAAAGCCCCGAGCUUAACUUGGGAAUUGCGCUUGUGACUGGCGUGCUGGAGUGUGGCAGAGGGGGGUGGAAUUCCACGUGUAGCAGUGAAAUGCGUAGAGAUGUGGAGGAACACCGAUGGCGAAGGCAGCCCCCUGGGCUAACACUGACGCUCAGGCACGAAAGCGUGGGGAGCAAACAGG